rnacentral:ncRNA from 1 species
GGAAGUAGAGGUCGCAACUUUCAGGAGUACCCGGCGGAGCAGGUAUGCUUUGAAGCCGCGGGAAAGGGGAAGCUGCCGAAGAUCACCGCCCGGCGGGGUGCUGAUCUGGGAUCGGGUUUAACAGGCCCGGUACUGUCAUUACGGUGAUGCGCUACA